rnacentral:rRNA from 1 species
UUGGAGGGCAAGUCUGGUGCCAGCAGCCGCGGUAAUUCCAGCUCCAAUAGCGUAUAUUAAAGUUGUUGCAGUUAAAAAGCUCGUAGUUGAAUUUCGGGAUUAGUACGUCGGUCGUACCUUAGGUACGUACUGGUGUUACUGGUUCCUACCUUCUGACGAACCAUCAUGUCAUUAAUUUGGUGUGGUGGGGAAUCAGGACUGUUACUUUGAAAAAAUUAGAGUGUUUAAAGCAGGCUCGCGCUUGAAUACAUUAGCAUGGAAUAAUGAAAUAGGACGUUG